rnacentral:rRNA from 1 species
CGGUAAUACGAAGGGUGCAAGCGUUACUCGGAAUUACUGGGCGUAAAGCGUGCGUAGGUGGUCGUUUAAGUCCGUUGUGAAAGCCCUGGGCUCAACCUGGGAACUGCAGUGGAUACUGGGCGACUAGAGUGUGGUAGAGGGUAGCGGAAUUCCUGGUGUAGCAGUGAAAUGCGUAGAGAUCAGGAGGAACAUCCAUGGCGAAGGCAGCUACCUGGACCAACACUGACACUGAGGCACGAAAGCGUGGGGAGCAAACAGGAUUAGAUACCCUGGUA